UAUGCAAAGAGAAUAUGAAGAUUGUUAUGGUGUUAUGAGAUGAAAUGGUUGAGUAUAGAAAGUUGUGUUUUAUGAUGAUGGAAAGAUGGAAGAGUGAAGUUGAGACGGUUGGAGGUGACAUUGAAGUGAAGGAGAAGACUCAGUUGAUGUGGUGUGGUGUAGUGAAUCAAGAAAGCAUAAAUAAUAAUGAGAGAGAGGGCAAAGUGGUAUUGGAAGAGUUUUUUUUUUCUUUUUUUUUUAACAAAGAAUGGGGUGAGAAGAAAUAUAUGGGAAAUAAAAUAAAUAUGCAGUAUUGAGAGAGAGAGAGAUUGAAAUUUAACACAAACAAAUAUAAAUGCAUUUAACGACCCAAAAAUAAAUAAAUUCAAUUAAUUAAUAAAUUCUAAAAAUAUUUUUAUGAUUAAUU
rnacentral:lncRNA from 1 species